rnacentral:siRNA from 1 species
UAGUUCUGUGUCUUGAGUAAG